rnacentral:rRNA from 1 species
GAUGAACGCUGGCGGCGUGCCUAAUACAUGCAAGUCGAGCGAACGGACGAGAAGCUUGCUUUUCUGAUGUUAGCGGCGGACGGGUGAGUAACACGUGGAUAACCUACCUAUAAGACUGGGAUAACUUCGGGAAACCUGAGCUAAUACCGGAUAAUAUUUUGAACCGCAUGGUUCAAAAGUGGAAGACGGUCUUGCUGUCACUUAUAGAUGGAUCCGCGCUGCAUUAGCUAGUUGGUAAGGUAACGGCUUACCAAGGCAACGAUGCAUAGCCGACCUGAGAGGGUGAUCGGCCACACUGGAACUGAGACACGGUCCAGACUCCUACGGGAGGCAGCAGUAGGGAAUCUUCCGCAAUGGGCGAAAGCCUGACGGAGCAACGCCGCGUGAGUGAUGAAGGUCUUCGGAUCGUAAAACUCUGUUAUUAGGGAAGAACAUAUGUGUAAGUAACUGUGCACAUCUUGACGGUACCUAAUCAGAAAGCCACGGCUAACUACGUG